UCCCUGGUCACUUAGCUGGUAAAGAAUCUGCCUGCGAUGCAGGAGACCCUGGUUUAAUUCCUGGUCAGGAAG
rnacentral:tRNA from 1 species